rnacentral:rRNA from 1 species
AUUGAACGCUGGCGGCAGGCCUAACACAUGCAAGUCGAACGCGUGUAGCAAUACACGAGUGGCGCACGGGUGAGUAACGCGUGGAUAUCUGCCUUUUGGUUCGGAAUAACCCCGGGAAACUGGGGCUAAUACCGGAUGGUUCCUACGGGAUAAAGAUUUAUCGCCAAAAGAUGAGUCCGCGUACGAUUAGCUAGUUGGUGAGGUAAUGGCUCACCAAGGCGACGAUCGUUAGCUGGUCUGAGAGGACGAUCAGCCACACUGGGACUGAGACACGGCCCAGACUCCUACGGGAGGCAGCAGUGGGGAAUAUUGGACAAUGGGGGCAACCCUGAUCCAGCCAUGCCGCGUGAGUGAUGAAGGCCUUCGGGUUGUAAAGCUCUUUUGGCGGGGACGAUGAUGACGGUACCCGCAGAAUAAGCCCCGGCUAACUUCGUGCCAGCCGCCGCCGUAAAAC